GAGAGUUUGAUUCUGGCUCAGGAUGAAUGCUGGCGGCGUGGAUAAGGCAUGCAAGUCGAACGGUGCAGGGUAGCAAUACUUUGCAUAGUGGCGAACGAGUUAGUAACACCUUGGUACAUACCUCGAAGUCGGGCACAACUAGUCGAAAGAUUAGCUAAUUCCCGAUAGUCCCGAAAGGGUAAAGUCGCAAGACGCUUUGAGAGUGGCCUAGGUCCUAUCAGCUUGUUGGCGGGGUAAAAGCCCACCAAGGCUAUGACGGGUAGGGGGCGUGAGAGCGCGACCCUCAACGACGAAACUGAGAUACGGUUCGUACACCUACGGGUGGCAGCAGUCGAGAAUAUUCGACAAUGGGCGAAAGCCUGAUCGAGCGACGCCGCGUGCGGGAAGAAGUCCUUAGGGAUGUAAACCGCUUUUGUUAGGGAAGAAUUUUGACGGUACCUGACGAAUAAGGGGUUGCUAACUCUGUGCCAGCAGCAGCGGUAAUACAGAGACCCCGAGCAUUAUCCGGAAUUACUGGGCGUAAAGAGCGAGUAGCCGGUUGUAUUAGUCUGAUGUUAAAUCCCAAGGCUUAACUUUGGGACCGCGUCGGAAACGGUACGACUAGAGCAGCUGAGAGGUAAGCGGAACGUGCAGUGUAGGGGUGAAAUCCAUUGAUAUUGCACGGAACACCAAAAGCGAAGGCAGCUUACUGGCAGUUUGCUGACGGUCAAUCGCGAAAGCGUGGGGAUCAAAAAGGAUUAGAUACCCUUGUAGUCCACGCCCUAAACUAUGCACAUUAGCUAUUGGGAGCAUCGACCCUUCCAGUGGCGUAGCCAACGCGUUAAAUGUGCCGCCUGGGAAGUACGAGCGCAAGCUUAAAACUCAAAGAAAUAGGCGGGAAUUCGCACAAGCAGUGGAUCAUGUGGUUCAAUUCGACUCUAACCGAGGAACCUCACCAAGGUUUGAAACUCAGCUGCAUACUCUGGAAACAGAGUAGCCUUCGAGGGUGCUGAGCAGGUGCUGCACGGCUGUCGUCAGCU
rnacentral:rRNA from 1 species